AUAUAUGCAUCCGCCGAUUUCUUUUCUGCUUGCAUUGCGUUGUGGUGAUGUGGAGCGUGACACUGGAUCAAACCUACGCGGUAUGCAGUAGAACCGAAAUGGGCUGAACGACGCCCAGUGAUGCUGGGUCGCCCGGCUCCUUCAUGAACCCUCGAUACACAUCAGCAUGCUGCAAGAAACCCUUUUCACGCGACAGGUCGACCAAGGCAUAUGCUCUCCCUGGUUUUCAGCACUCCGGUGUAGCAAGCGAAAAGAAGCGUGGCGCUCGUGUCUCGCUGCUCUCACAAUAGGACAUGCGCACAGGUGUACGCCCUCCCUCCCGUUACCCAGGACGCGGUUGCAGCAGGGACGCUCUGGCUUCGCUGUGGUAGCCCUAUUCAGUGAAUAAACCUUACGCCCCGCCACGCACCUGAGAAGGAUCUGGUGGCACGGCAAGUUCUCAAUCAGAUGCCAGACGACGUCACUCUCAGCCCUCACGUUAUGAGAAUGGAUACCAAUUGGCACCACCCGACGCGGGACACGGAAAGGGGGGACCCCACUGGACUAGGGUCAUUCUACCCCGACUGAUUCAAUGACAAACAGGCCUGCACACGCGGCAAAAGACACCUUGGCAUAAGACAGCGCAGACGGGGGGGACCACGGACACGCUAAGGAGACGUCAGCAUGGCGCUCGGCUGCCCGCAUCUCUGAUUGGGGCACCAUCACAAUGCCGCCGAGCAACCACUGCGCGAUCAAGCCCACUGCCUGCUUUGCGGAGGCAAUAUGACGCGGUGCUGCUAUCAAGGACUGCGGCCCGAUCACACUCUUUCUGCGAGGCGGACAGGAAACUGUGCUGUGUCCUGAUUGCGAACUUGCUCCGCAGAGGCCGCGCCUACACCACAAGAAGACCGAAGCAAGGAUUCGCGCGCAUCAGAGUGCCGCACUGACCUCGGCCAUCACCACAACCCGAAAGCGCACCAUGGAGCAACGACGAAUCGCCCAUGCAAUCACGCCUGCCACCGCUCCACUACACAUGCAUAGCUACCAUCUGCCAUUCAAGGUGAGCUUGCAUCCACGACUACACUCCUCGCGACGACCACCGGGUAAACUGUACCAUCUGGUAAGGCUGCUUAUACGCAGUUCGGGGCACCCAAACGGACGCGAUCAGAGGAAAGCCUCGAGAAGACGCCCUGGACGUUGCCCGCUGAUCGCGCUCUCUCGGACAUGCUUACCGAAGAGCCUGCCUAGAGGAAUGGUUGUAGACCUGCAUACCCCUCACCACCACCGGCCCUCGGUCAGCGGCACGCAUCCGGGCUAUCGAUAAUCGCCCGCCCUACACGCAUCCGCAAUCUGAUAUGGCGGCCGCCUCCUCAGUGCGGAAGAGCAAGCCGACGACUUGUUGGCGACGAUGCUGCAGCAGAAGCCAGCGCGAUAUAUCCGGCCGCGCCCCUGCUGCGUGGAAAGAGGGGCUCACUGCGCCGCUCCUGAAGCCGCACAGGCCAGAUGGUGGCUCCACGUCCUACCGUCCCUGCGGCGCUGACCAGCGAUCCAUGCAAGCUACUCGAACGAAUGAUCGCGUGACGACGGCCCAGAGCAUCUGGGCGACAGGCUCCAGCCACGGCAUACUGGCUUCGCGUGCUCACCGCUCCACCACGGACCCCGUGGGCCUGCCCCACCACAGCGUAGUGCAGCGGCAGCCAGGUGCCAAAACCCGAGCAGGGCUUGUGAGCUCUACGCUGGCGCGCGUGGCUCGGCAGUCCGCGGCGUGCCACCAUCACGGUGCUUAGGAGAUCCAACGUAGACCCGUGCCGUACUCGCUGGAUCAUGGAUUUCUCGGGCGGGGAGGUCAUACGAGCCACAUGGCGGCCCGCCCUCCAGAGGGCGGUGCACACUCGCCGUUGCGCGGCACCGCAACCAGCUGCGGCUCUCCGUUGCACGCGUGCACCUGGAAGAGAAUCGCCGCCGCCCACCCCCACCCGCUCGGCAGGGACCUCCAGCCAAUGCCAGCGCAUUGACCAACACGUCGCAGGGGUUAUCAAAGUAGCCACGGCUCGACUCGCCAGGCUGAGGGGGAGGGUGCUCGGAGGAGCGGGGCCCGUGAAAGUAUCCUCUGCGCUCCUCCUACACAGCACUGACCGAGUCAGAGCUACCCUACGGCGUCAUCGCGUGGCGGGACGGUGCCGGCAGAAACUGCCGGAGGGACCUUGAGCACGCCUACGUCAAUGCAGCCGCAGCCAUCGUUCGGUACCCGGACAUUACACAGACAGCGGAGACCUGCUCGAAGAGGCGGGGACCCACUGCCCCUCGGCUCCACGGUGCUUCUGCGCCGCACCCGCCUGCCUGUGUUCCGCACUCGCGCGAGGAGGCUGCCCUGUGCAUUCGGCGUGGGAGGCGUACGCGCCGGGCCACGGCGUUGCCGCGACGCUCUGGCAGCCCUCGCCGGGGCAUGCAGGCGGCGACUCGCCCGCUUUGCGAAGCUCCGUUGCUCGCUGGGAAGAGAUGGCGCGGCGCACAUAGACAUCCAGCCAGGAGCGCCCGCGAUGCGCCACGGUAUAGCACCCAUAGAUGCAGCGACAAGACGCUGCGGCCGCGCCUCGUCUGCAGCGAUGGCGCUGAGUGCGAAGCAACGGAGCUGGGGCGCGACCCUGGUGCGAGGACACCCGGAUCGGCCAAGGCACAGGCAGACAAGUGUGGCUCUUGCCACGGACUCGGUCAUCGGUCUCAGGCGUCAGGCCGACAUCCCGCGAAGCCGCGCUGCACGAGGCGACGGGAGACCAUGCUCGCUCAGUCCCGCACCGGCGCCUGCCCGCGCCGCGGAUCCCUGCAACGGCGGGUGACUGGCAGUGGCGGCAUGGGGUGCGGAUGGUGUGCUGCCUACUGCUGCGCUGGCGCAUGCUUCUCCGCGGGCCCCCUUCCUCUCCACACACCCACGCCUGCGAAAGGCCUGUGGGCUCAGCAGAGGGCGGGAUGCCCCCUGCUGCCUUGCCACACACGCAUAGCGGCGCCCCACCUGUGGGACGGCACGUGUGGUCAAGCGGGCCAGCCACGCCCUCUCCCCCACCCCCAGGCAGCAGCGUCGUCCUGAAACAGGCACCGAGGGCGCAGGAAUGCGAGCACUGUGCGCAGGUGCUGCCAAGCACAGCCGGCAUGCCGUAUCACACCCAGACAAGGCAUGCGCACGUGAGCAGAGCAGGAGCGAUGGGCGAACAAGGCGCGAGGAGACCCAAUAUACGAAUCAGCCGCCCCCCCCUACUCGGCGCAUGUGUGCGGAGCGUGCGGUGACCUCUACGUCCGGCCGGGCCUGCGCUGAUGAGGCGCAGAUGCCGGAAGCAUGACGGGAGCACCCUCGAAUGGCACCAGCGAGUCCUCCAGACGCGCAUGAGGCGAGUCCCCACGCCACAUUACGGCAUGCCGCGGCUUGUGGCGACCGAGGGAGAGGCAUGGCAUGCAGGCAGGGCGUGCAAGGUCUCGGAGGGCCCUGGCCUGCGUGUGGCCGACUUCCUUGCUGCGCUCGCCCGGCAUGCCCCCUUGAUCGCCACCCCCUUCUACCCGCACGGCAGACGCCACGGCCUCCGCCCACGAGCGGGACCCUGAAGGCGGCCCUGCUUGGAUCAAGGAGUACCUCUGCUAGCUGAAGCAAGGGAAAGGCAGUGGGUGGUACGAGGCGGUUAAUAUGGAAGGCGUCCGUGGUGCUCGAUAGAGUUCGCAAUGCAUGUGAUUAUCUGGAGGCUUGGAUGCGUUCUUCUCUCGUGUUUUUUUUUCGAGUGGGCUGUGUGCAUGUGCCUGAGGGUCUCUAUCCGUGUGUGUGUUUGUGUUGGAGAUGGAGGUAGAAGAGCCCCGUAGGUACCCCUUCUCUUGCUUGGCUGACGUCUUCAGGUUACUGGACCACAUCACCUGUCCCACACUCGUUUUUUUUUCCUUUUUCUUCCUUGGGUGCUCACCGUAACCUUACUCCACCCUUGUACUCUCCCCACCGUAUCGUGCUCCCCUCUAUUUCUUUGUACUGAAGUUCCCUCUCUGCCUCUCAACUCGUGUGUGUGUGUGUGUGUGUCUUGCCUGUGAAUGCUCAGCAGUUUUCCGUGGGGUUUUUUCUGUUCGUGCAUGUGCCUGGAUUGGCGUGCAGGCGUGCAUGCAGGUAUCCGCACUUUGUUGUACCAUUCUGCUCGGUCCUUUGUGGGGGAGGUCUACGGUACCGACGUUAGUCCUGCUCCUUUUUGUCUCUCGAUCCCUCUCAAUUCUGCACAGUCACUGACGCGCCUCCGGCUUCGUCUCCUCGCAAGCGCACCGGCAACUGCGUAACACUUGUCGGCUGGUCUUCUCUACCAGUUGCCCGCACCCUUUUUUUUCUGUUGGUCCUUCUCUUGCUUUGUUGAACCUGCUCGCUUUCGCACCUUGCGCGAGCGUAUCAUGAACACUUUCUUCUUGUUUCGCCCUUGUGCACGUGCCACCGUUCUCCGGCGUUUCCUCCUCUCACCCUUGGCUCCCUGGCGCUGUCGGUCUGCCCUGUUCGUUUCGUUGCGCUUUGGGUUUCACAGUCGCCUACACAUGCCCACGUACGAUCCCGCGCGCGGGGGGGGGGGGGGGGGCAGAGAGAUGCGUCGUGACCGGCGUAAAAAGUUAUGUGUGCCUGGACAGAGAAAGUGCAUCCAGCGCGGACAUCGACAUAUGGAUGUGCGCUGCCCUUCAGGGACGCUUCUGCCAGAAGAAAACGAGUCCCAGCGAACACACCGCAGAUGCGCACCGACAGGUGUGCCGUCUCGUCAACAGCAGCGCACUUUGAUAAUCGUGCACACGCAGGAUUCGUUGUCAUUGAUGCUCUGUUGCUCCCUUGGCGGAGGAGUGCUAAUCCUCCUGUUUUUCUUUUUGUUUUUAGCGGCGUUGAUUCAGCUGUUGUCCGUGUACGGCAGCGCACCUUUCGAGCGUCUUCGCCUGCCGUCCUGCACCGCUUCUCUGAAGCGCUCUCCUACCGACAAACGCGCUGUUCCCACUGCCGCGUAUCCUCGUCCCGCAGCUGCGCCACCCUCUCUCCUUCUUACGGCUCUCUGUGUGCGUCUCUUGUGCGCGUUGCGCACUGCGCGCCCUUCCCUCACUGCUUCUCUUUUAUUUGCUGAUAUUCUCUUUCUUUGGGGGGAGGAGGGGGGAAGGGAGGGGAGGAGGUUUCCGGUGCAGAGCGCUCAAGGAAUGUGUUUGCUGUCGCAGAUGGUACACAUGAGGCGAACGAGCUCGAGUUGCAGCCGUGCACACGCACUCGUUAGAUCUCCACGCCUCAUUCGUAGAAGGGUGGAGAGGAGCGUCAGACCCAAGAGCGGUCGCGCUUCUCUCAUUUAGAAAAUGUUUGGAGGCAUGAUUGCGCGUAGGCAGCGUGUGUAUUCCUUUUUCCACGUUCUUUUUUUUUUCGUUCUUACCACGCUGCUGGGCAGUUAUACAACCUCGACUCACCUGAGUGUGUGUCUCUCGUUUCUUUCGUUGUUGAUGCUGUUCAUUGGUUCGAUUGCCGAUGGAGCUGCUUCUUUCAGCACCCACCCCCACGCAUCUUAUCUCUUUGUAUGGCUCUCUCUCUCUAUGUUUGUGGUUUGGGGAGUGGCCAACCUAUUCCGCUCCGCUGUUGCCUACCAUGCUGCUGCUUCUAGUCUCUGCGUGUGUGUGUUUGUGCUUCCGCCAUUACGGUAUGAGUGCCUCCGAGGCAAUCCCAAG
rnacentral:misc_RNA from 1 species